AGUCUGGUGCCAGCAGCCGCGGUAAUUCCAGCUCUCAAAAUGCAUAGAAUCAUUGCUGCGGUUAAAAAGCUCGUAGUUGGAUCUGUGCUGGCGGGUCGGUCCACCUUCGGGUGCGCACUGAUUUCGCCGGCUUUCCUGCCGUAUUUGGCCCUGUGCCUUUCAACGGGUGCAGUGUCCAGUGCAGCAAGUUUACCUUGAACAAAUCAGAGUGCUUCAAACAGGCGUUUCGCUUGAAUGUUCGUGCAUGGAAUAAUAGAAGAGGAUUUCGGUUCUAUUUUAUUGGUUUUAUAGACUGAGAUAAUGGUUAACAGAGACUAACGGGGGCAUUAGUAUUGCUACGUGAGAGGUGAAAUUCUUGGACCGUAGCAAGACUGACUACAGCGAAAGCAUUUGCCAAGAAAGUCUUCAUUAAUCAAGAACGAAAGUCAGAGGUUCGAAGGCGAUCAGAUACCGCCCUAGUUCUGACCGUAAACGAUGCCAACUAGUGAUCCGCCGGUGGAACAUUCGCCCUGGUGGGGAACUUCCCGGAAACGAAAGUCUUCCGGUUCCGGGGGAAGUAUGGUUGCAAAGCUGAAACUUAAAGGAAUUGACGGAAGGGCACCACCAGGAGUGGAGCCUGCGGCUUAAUUUGACCCAACACGGGAAAACUCACCCGGCCCGGACACCGUAAGGAUUGACAGAUUGAUAGCUCUUUCAUGAUUCGGUGGAUGGUGGUGCAUGGCCGUUCUUAGUUCGUGGAGCGAUUUGUCUGGUUUAUUCCGAUAACGAGCGAGACUCUGGCCUACUAAAUAGUUUACACAUUGCUUCUGUGUGCAUAACUUCUUAGAGGGAUUUUCGGUGUUCAGCCGCAAGAAAUUGAGCAAUAACAGGUCUGUGAUGCCCUUAGAUGUCCGGGGCUGCACGCGCGCUACACUGGCAAAAUCAGCGUGCUUGUCCUUCCCCGAAAGGGGUUGGUAAACUCGUGAAAAUUUGCCGUGAUUGGGAUCGGAAAUUGCAAUUAUUUUCCGUGAGCGAGGAAUUCCAAGUAAGUGCGAGUCAUCAACUCGCGUUGAUUACGUCCCUGCCCUUUGUACACACCGCCCGUCGCUGCCCGGGACUGAGCCGUUUCGAGAAACUUGGAGACCGCUGAUCUGGUAACUUCGAUUGCCAUUUUGGUGGGAACCAAUUUAA
rnacentral:rRNA from 1 species